ACGUACACUCCUACGGGAGGCAGCAGUGGGGAAUAUUGGACAAUGGGCGCAAGCCUGAUCCAGCCAUGCCGCGUGAGUGAUGAAGGCCCUAGGGUUGUAAAGCUCUUUCACCGGUGAAGAUAAUGACGGUAACCGGAGAAGAAGCCCCGGCUAACUUCGUGCCAGCAGCCGCGGUAAUACGAAGGGGGCUAGCGUUGUUCGGAUUUACUGGGCGUAAAGCGCACGUAGGCGGACUAUUAAGUCAGGGGUGAAAUCCCGGGGCUCAACCCCGGAACUGCCUUUGAUACUGGUAGUCUUGAGUUCGAGAGAGGUGAGUGGAAUUCCGAGUGUAGAGGUGAAAUUCGUAGAUAUUCGGAGGAACACCAGUGGCGAAGGCGGCUCACUGGCUCGAUACUGACGCUGAGGUGCGAAAGCGUGGGGAGCAAACAGGAUUAGAUACCCGAGUAGUCCCAUGAU
rnacentral:rRNA from 1 species